rnacentral:rRNA from 1 species
UACGUAGGGGGCUAGCGUUGUCCGGAUUUAUUGGGCGUAAAGAGCGUGUAGGCGGCCAGGUAGGUCUGCUGUGAAAACUCGAGGCUCAACCUCGAGACGUCGGCGGAAACCAUCUGGCUAGAGUCCGGAAGAGGAGAGUGGAAUUCCUGGUGUAGCGGUGAAAUGCGCAGAUAUCAGGAAGAACACCGGUGGCGAAGGCGGUUCUCUGGGCAUUACCUGACGCUGAGGAGCGAAAGCAUGGGGGAGCGAACAGG